rnacentral:rRNA from 1 species
UUUGACCUCAAAUCAGGUAGGACUACCCGCUGAACUUAAGCAUAUCAAUAAGCGGAGGAAAAGAAACUAACAAGGAUUCCCCUAGUAACGGCGAGUGAAGAGGGAAGAGCUCAAUUUUAAUCUGGUGGCCUACGGUCAUYCGAGUUGUAAUCUAGAGAAGUGUWWUCCGUGCUGGACCGUGUACAAGUCCUUUGGAACAAGGCGUCAUAGAGGUGAGAAUCCCGUCUACGACACGGACUGYCAGUGCUUGUGAUACACUCUCAACGAGUCGAGUUGUUUGGAAUGCAGCUCAAAAUGGGUGGUAAAUUCCAUCUAAAGCUAAAUAUAGGUGAAAGACCGAUAGCGAACAAGUACCGUGAGGGAAAGAUGAAAAGCACUUUGGAAAGAGAGUUAAACAGUACGUGAAAUUGUUGAAAGGGAAACGCUUGAAGUCAGUCGCGUCUUCAGAAAUUCAGCUCGGCUUCUGCCUUGUGUACUYUUCUGUUGGACGGGCCAGCAUCAGUUUUGGCCGCCAGAAAAAGGUGGGAGGAAGGUGGCACCUCCGGGUGUGUUAUAGCCUCUCAUCGUAUGUGGCGGCUGGGACUGAGGAUCGCAGCACGCCUUCAAUGGCCGGGGUUCGCCCACGUAACGUGCUUAGGAUGCUGGCGUAAUGGCUUUAAACGACCCGUCUUGAAACACGGACCAAGGAGUCUAACAUGCCUGCGAGUAUUUGGGUGGUAAACCCAUAUGCGGAAUGAAAGUGAACAGUUGGGACUUCUGUCAUGGAAGGCACCGACGCCCGGACCAGACCUACUGGUGACGGAUCCGAGGUAGAGCAUGUAUGUUGGGACCCGAAAGAUGGUGAACUAUGCCUGAGUAGGGUGAAGCCAGAGGAAACUCUGGUGGAGGCUCGUAGCGAUUCUGACGUGCAAAUCGAUCGUCGAACUUGGGUAUAGGGGCGAAAGACUAAUCGAAC